rnacentral:rRNA from 1 species
CCUACGGGAGGCAGCAGUGGGGAAUUUUGGACAAUGGGCGCAAGCCUGAUCCAGCAAUGCCGCGUGCAGGAUGAAGGCCUUCGGGUUGUAAACUGCUUUUGUACGGAACGAAACGGUCUGCCCUAAUACGGUGGGCUAAUGACGGUACCGUAAGAAUAAGCACCGGCUAACUACGUGCCAGCAGCCGCGGUAAUACGUAGGGUGCGAGCGUUAAUCGGAAUUACUGGGCGUAAAGCGUGCGCAGGCGGUUAUGUAAGACAGAUGUGAAAUCCCCGGGCUCAACCUGGGACCUGCAUUUGUGACUGCAUAGCUAGAGUACGGUAGAGGGGGAUGGAAUUCCGCGUGUAGCAGUGAAAUGCGUAGAUAUGCGGAGGAACACCGAUGGCGAAGGCAAUCCCCUGGACCUGUACUGACGCUCAUGCACGAAAGCGUGGGGAGCAAACAGGAUUAGAUACCCUGGUAGUCCACGCCCUAAACGAUGUCAACUGGUUGUUGGGUCUUCACUGACUCAGUAACGAAGCUAACGCGUGAAGUUGACCGCCUGGGGAGUACGGCCGCAAGGUUGAAACGUCAAAUGAAAUUGACGG